UCACCGCUUUUGUUCUCCCACUUCCCUCCAGAGUGCGCAGCUGAACAGAGGAGCCCGACCGGUGCGGAGCGAGCGAGCAAACCAAGCAGAGAGCACAGAGCAGCGGACGCACCGUCGCACCACUGCCCGCUAUCCACAUGCAAAACGCCGCCUACAAAGAGGAUACUCCGCGCUGCCUAGUUACAUAACCGGACUACCUUUUUUAAUUAUUAUUCUUGGGUUUUGUAAAUCUUUUUUUGUUUUGUUGCAACGAUCCAUUUUAAAGUCAAAAUGGAGAACGGCGACAAAUACCUUCCCGAGCUGCUGGCAGAAAAGGACACUUUGGACAUGUCGUUUACGCACUCCAUGAAACUUUUAAAUGCAGAAAUCGACAGAAUCCAGAAAGGCGAGACCAAAAAGGACACAGAAACAUACUUGGACCUCUUCACGACAAAAAACAUCAAACUUAAAGAGCGUGUGCUCAUACCGGUCAAACAGUACCCCAAGUUCAAUUUUGUGGGCAAGAUUCUGGGACCUCAGGGCAACACUAUCAAACGGCUGCAGGAGGAGACUGGGGCGAAGAUCUCGGUGCUGGGGAAAGGCUCGAUGAGAGACAAAGCCAAGGAGGAAGACUUGAGAAAUGGCGGAGAGCCCAAGUACGCCCACCUGUCUAUGGAGCUGCAUGUUUUUAUCGAGGUCUUCGCCCCGGUACCAGAUGCCUACCUGCGGAUGGCACAUGCAAUGGAAGAAGUCAAGAAGUUCCUGUUCCCAGACAUGAUGGAUGAAAUCUGUCAGGAGCAGUUCAUGGAGAUGAGUUAUCUGAACGGAGGCCAGGAGCACGGGGCCCGGGGCCGCGGGGGCAUGCCAGUUAGGGGCCGUGGAGUGCCCCCUGGAGCAGCACACAGGGGUCGGGGGAUGCCUCCGCGGGGAGCAGCCAGAGGAGGAGUGAGCCGCGGUGGCCCCACCAGGGGAGGGGCAGGGCGAGGAGCACCUGCAGGGCGAGGGGGGCCUACCGCUGCACCUGCUAGAGGAGCAGCCGCACCCAGGGCCAGACCCCCCACCGCCGGACCCCCUCAAAGGAUGGCACCUCCCCCUCACCAGCACACCACUGCAGCCGCCACUGACAGCUACGAGGAUUAUGGCUAUGAUGAGAGCUACACAGAGACGGGCUACGAGUCAUACGACAGCUAUUACAGCCAGCCGCAGGCAGAUCCAGAGUACUACGACUACAGCCACGGCGAAACCACAGAGUCUUAUGAUUCUUAUGGUCAGGAUGGCUGGAACGGCACCCAGAGGACCACCCCGGGAAAGGCCCCUCCCCCUUCCAGAGGAGCCAAGGCACCCUACAGGGAGCACCCGUAUCGGCAGUACUGAGGACCAGACCAGAAUGCGUCACCCACUCCGGCUGUCUACACGGCAGCGCUCGCUUUAAGCAGCUCGACAAAAGCACAGUCUUGGUCCCUGCACUGGGAGACUGACAGUCUGCUGGACGGAGGAGGCUCUGACCACAGGAUGAAGCCCUGAGAGGAGGACAUGGUCAGACGGUGCUCCCAGCCUUGCAUUCAUCCAGACAGAACUGCCCAGGCCUGGCUGUGAGGGGGAGGAUGGAGCUGAGCGGUAGGCCCUUUGCCAUGUGCCACAGCUGACCAAGCCUGGGGAGAUGAACUGGAGCUCUCUCUAACUCUCUCUCUCUCUGUGCCUCCUUUUGGACCACGGCAAAGACUGCAGCUGGUCACCAAAACCUCAAAAUGAGACUCGUGCAUUUCCUGGACUAUUUUUCUACAAUUUCUCCUCCUUUGUCAAUAUUGAAUUACGCUGUUUUUAUCCCUGUAAUUAUUUCCGAAUGCCUCAGACACCCUCUUGAAGUUGUCGUUGAUUGCACAGUGCUGUACAGUUUCCGAGAGAGUCCCUGCUCCAACAGAUGUAAUUGUCCUAGCCUAAUUUGGCAUAAAAUGAGCACUCCUGUUAUAGUAAGCUGUGAAAUUGGUUUUAAUUUGGUUUAACCCUUGAAUUACAGCUUUGAUUCUGCAACAAAACCUAAUUGGAAGAGGUGGCGUUUCUGUUUACAUUUAUAGCAUAGGCAAGUAUUCUUUACCCUGUCUUUCUCCAAAUUCAUACAGCUCAAAAUUGAAUUCUUUUGUCCGAGGCUCCCUGCCAAAACUGCACUCCUGUUUAGUUGUUUUUUCCCCAAUUGAGUCAGCUUCUUCCUAAUGAGAAGUCAUGGUUAACCUGAUUUGUUUUGGGUGCUAAAAAUAAAUGAUGCUUCCCGACUACACAGGCAGUAAUAAAAUGUUUAUAGAUGUCAGCAAAAAUACAUGCAAUAUUACUUGUCAAGGUUUAAAAAUCUCUGAACAAAUUAUAAUAGAUCUACGAAUUAGCUUACAGGGGCAAUAUGUAUGUUUUUUUUGGUCCAAAACCUUCUAUUCUCCAUGGAGAUGUUGUACAGGAAUGUUCCACGCAUGGCAUAAAAUCUAGCAAUCUCCAUGGAAAGUAAUUGAACACUUGUAAAUAAGGUAAGGUACAUUUAUACCAAUCUUAUAACAUUCAAGGCAAAACAAAAAACUUGAGAAAGGCUGGUGAUGGAUAUUCUAAACUGACCAUUCCAGAUGCACAGAGAAAUCAUUGAAGAUCGGGCAUCAGGUGUAAAAACAUAAAUAAAUUGGCUUGUCUCUUAACUUUUGUCUUGAACAGAAUUACAUUUUUCCAAAAUCAUGAGCUCUCAGAAUUCAAAUCCAACCAAAUCAUUGCUGCCAUGCAGGUAGAAAUUUGACCAGAAAUUUGAAAUAUUCUUUGACAUUUUGAAUAUCUAUCUACCUCCUCACCACAAACCAACGCAUUACCCAACCCCCCUCCCUGCUCUGAAUGGCCUCGGUGCCCCUGAGGACACGGGAUGCUAAUGCUAUGAGCUGUUUGCAUGAUCUACUAUGUCCCCUCACUACCAAUGUGUCUCACCUUCAUAACCACAUAACCAGAGCUGGC